GUUUCAGGCAAACUAUACCCUUGAAAACUAUAAAUUGUUUUACAUCCAUUCAGAUAUACUACAUUCUUUGGUGUUCAACAGAAUCAAGAACAAAAAUGGAUAUACUUAAAAGGAAAUUUCGCGGUAUCUAACUGAUAACGUUAUUUCUCCGCAAAAACAGUUAAUUGAUACACAAAGCUAAGUUUGAUUCAGCUGUUCUUGAAUGUGUAACAAACUCUGCGUUUUUCAUGUUACCUGACAAAAGAUCAAACCGAUAGAUCAAGCAAGUCCAAGAUGACCUCGUCCUCCACAAUCCGAACACAUUAUGUUACCAGAACCCCCACAACCUAAGCAUCUAACUUUGACGAUUAUCCCUUGACUUUCCAUUAUAGAAUCAACAUAUAGGCCCGAACCGGAGCAGGUGGCACAAAGGACAGCGCCUUUAGCUUCACACUCGGGACAAUGAGGUUUGUCUCCAAUAUUCUUCUUGGCCAAGGACAAUCCAGUUGGCUUCUCAAUUCUUU
rnacentral:misc_RNA from 1 species